AUACAGCGCACGGGUGAGUAACGCGUAUGCAACCUACCUUAUACAGGGGAAUAGCCCGAAGAAAUUCGGAUUAAUGCUCCAUGGUUUAUCGAUAUGGCAUCGUAUUGAUAAUAAAGAUUUAUCGGUGUAAGAUGGGCAUGCGUAUCAUUAGCUAGUUGGUGUGGUAACGGCAUACCAAGGCAACGAUGAUUAGGGGUCCUGAGAGGGAGAUCCCCCACACUGGUACUGAGACACGGACCAGACUCCUACGGGAGGCAGCAGUGAGGAAUAUUGGUCAAUGGAGGCAACUCUGAACCAGCCAUGCCGCGUGCAGGAUGACGGUCCUAUGGAUUGUAAACUGCUUUUGUACAGGAAGAAACCUCUCUACGAGUAGAGACUUGACGGUACUGUAAGAAUAAGGAUCGGCUAACUCCGUGCCAGCAGCCGCGGUAAUACGGAGGAUCCGAGCGUUAUCCGGAAUUAUUGGGUUUAAAGGGUUCGUAGGCGGCUUUGUAAGUCAGUGGUGAAAUUUCCUAGCUUAACUAGGACACUGCCAUUGAUACUGCAGAGCUUGAAUAAUAUGGAAGUAACUAGAAUAUGUAGUGUAGCGGUGAAAUGCUUAGAUAUUACAUGGGAAUACCAAUUGCGAAGGCAGGUUACUACGUAUUUAUUGACGCUGAUGAACGAAAGCGUGGGGGAGCGAACAGGGAUUAGAUACCCUGGUUAGUCCACGCCGUAAACGAUGGAUACUAGCUGUUCG
rnacentral:rRNA from 1 species